GCCCAGACUCCUACGGGAGGCAGCAGUGGGGAAUAUUGCACAAUGGGGGAAACCCUGAUGCAGCGACGCCGCGUGAGCGAUGAAGUAUUUCGGUAUGUAAAGCUCUAUCAGCAGGGAAGAAAAUGACGGUACCUGACUAAGAAGCCCCGGCUAACUACGUGCCAGCAGCCGCGGUAAUACGUAGGGGGCAAGCGUUAUCCGGAUUUACUGGGUGUAAAGGGAGCGUAGACGGCUUGGCAAGCCAGAUGUGAAAGGCUGGGGCUCAACCCCAGGACUGCAUUUGGAACUGUCAUGCUAGAGUGUCGGAGAGGCAAGUGGAAUUCUUAGUGUAGCGGUGAAAUGCGUAGAUAUUAGGAGGAACACCAGUGGCGAAGGCGGCUUGCUGGACGAUGACUGACGUUGAGGCUCGAAAGCGUGGGGAGCAAACAGGAUUAGAUACCCCGGUA
rnacentral:rRNA from 1 species